GACGGGGCCCGCACAAGCAGUGGAGUAUGUGGUUUAAUUCGACGCAACGCGAAGAACCUUACCUGGGUUUGACAUGCAGGGGAAAGCUACAGAGAUGUAGCCUCGGCUUCGGUCGCCGCUGCACAGGUGCUGCAUGGCUGUCGUCAGCUCGUGCCGUGAGGUGUUGGGUUAAGUCCCGCAACGAGCGCAACCCUCGUCCUUAGUUGCCAUGCCGCAAGGCGGAACCCUAAGGAGACUGCCGGGGACAACCCGGAGGAAGGUGGGGAUGACGUCAAGUCCUCAUGGCCCUUACAUCCAGGGCUACACACGUACUACAAUGGUCGGUACAGAAGGUUGCAAGACCGCGAGGUGGAGCUAAUCCCAAAAACCGGCCUCAGUUCAGAUUGAAGUCUGCAACUCGACUUCAUGAAGGUGGAAUUGCUAGUAAUCGCAGAUCAGCACGCUGCGGUGAAUACGUUCCCGGGCCUU
rnacentral:rRNA from 1 species